GGUAUGGCCCUCACUUUAGUAUUCAGGAGGUUUAGAAUCAGCUUUGAGGGGGAGGUAGUAGCUAGGCUUUCUCACUCUGACACCAUCAACCGUCAUACUUUGCACCGCAUGGGAUUUACUAAGACAGAUGGUGGUUGGACUAAAGGUGUGGAAGAGAGAGCUAAGGAAGAAGGACCACCCUCACCCCUCCGUGAUCUCAGGGCAGCAUCUCCAGACAUUCAAUUCAUUUCGAAUCACGAGGCUGGCCUAUCAGAGUCUACGAGGAGGCAUACUCCAGUCCAGCAGCC
rnacentral:lncRNA from 1 species